ACAUAUAAAACCCUAAGUUAAAUCUAAAGGCUGAGUUAAAGAUUGAAUCAUAUUAUACGUGGAUCCGACGGCUGAAACAGGAGCAACCGCAAUAGAGAAGUGGCCAAUGGGACUUUUGAGGCCAACGCAAUUACAGACCCUCCUCAGUACAACAUUCCACAACUAGUGCGAAGCCAGCGGUGCAACUUUACAGUUUUCAAAAAAUAAAUGUUUAGGAGAUUUUCUAAAAAUUCAACUCUUCCUCAUCUUAUGUUUUUGAGACAAUAUUAUAAAAAGUUAGCACAUAAUUGUGGCAAAAACAUGAGUUUGCAGAGUUAAUGUGACAAAAAACAUGGGAUGAAGGAACUUAUGGACAGCCGACUUUUGAGAGUCUCCCGACAUUUUUCUUCCCAAAGCACUAGUACUACUACAAUUGAACACGUAAUUACUAGUGGUAUUAGUGAAUUACUAUUGGUAAUUAGACGUCGGAUGCACGGACACGAUUCAGACGUGGAUGGAUGAUGAGAGUCCUUAUAUACACCAACCUGGCUUUCACUAUAAAUAACGGGGAUCUGAAAUCGGCCCCCCUCCUUCCUCAAGUAUGAUGAAUUGAAAGACUCCACUUGUGUAAAUAGUGAAUUAUCCUGUAGACAGGGCAUUCGGGCAGCAUUCCGAAUUCAAAACCCUAAUGAAAACAUGAUAUUCCUUGAGUGAAGGAAAGCUGCUAGGCUGACCAUUGCACUUGGUGUAUCUAAUUAGCUGUAUAUAUAUGUAUAUUUGUAUAUAUUAGAAAGAAGGAAGAGAACUGUAGGUUAAGCUGAGCGUAGUUGACAGAAGAGAGUGAGCACACACAGGCAGCAAUUGUAUAAAAUCAUACCUUUGGGCGGUGCGUGCUCACCUCUCUCUCUGUCAGCUGCUAUCUGCGCGCUCGCUGGCAUUAUUUCACCACUUAAUUUUGAUCGUCAACGUUCAAAACCUUAAUUUCUCAUCAACGCCCCUUCUCUUCCCGCAAAGGAAUGGGAAAUUAAACCAGGCCAGCCCCAGGCCCCGCCCGUUCUGCUCUCCCAAUUCUCCUUCCAGGUAUUUUCUCCCAAUUCUCCUUCCUUCCAGGUGUCCUUCAGUUUAUGAUUUGACCGACGUACCAUACCAUACGUGGCUCACUGCACUUCACAAUCACAAAGGAAUGAAAAUACAAGAUAAGUUAUUUUAAUGUAUUUAAUUUUUCCUGUUUUAUUAAUUUUUAUUGAAUUUAAAAUUGUAAAGAAUGACUUUAGUUGGAAGCGUGGUCUUUUAAUAUACUGUCCUAGACCUUCAAAUGGUUUGAAGAGGACGAUUUGGGGUUCUGAUGUUUCUUCAAGGUACGCCUUCUUAUUCUUAUCUUACUGUUCAAAUUUUCAUGGAAAUUCCCGCAAUUAUUCUUUUCUUUUAUAUAUAUAUAUAUAUAAUUAUUUUAUGAAAACCCUCCGAACCCCUCUUCUAUUUUCAUGGAAACUCCCACAAUUAUUCUUUUAUUUAUUUAUUAUGAAAACCCUCUUCUUCUUCUUCUUCUUCUUCUUCAUGCAAGUUUAUUUCUCUGUGCAUGUCAUAUAAAAACUGUAAAUUAUUACACAAAUAUACAUUCAGCUCUUCUCCCCAAAUCGGCUGAUAAAAAAAAACAUAAACCCUAAGGUCAGAGCUCUGCUAAAUAUGGACACAUUUUACUCUUUUCCCAUCUGGCCAGAUCUCAGCUUUUUUUGUGUCAUAAGUGAGAUUCUUAAACCAAAAUUCCUUUUCAGAAGAAGAGAAAAAAAAAAAAAAAAAAAAAAAAAGGAAGAAAGAAAAAAAGAAAUGUGUCCUGUUAUUGAAGCAAAUAUAAUUUUAGUUUAUAUUGUUCUUUUCUUAUGUUUAAUUUACUGGUCGUUGCCUUGUAAUUAUAUUUGGUAGGCAGUACAAGUGUAGUACUUCUUGAUGUCUAGGCGUCAGUGAGCAGCAGCAGAUUCUGCUUCCAUUAAUUUGGCGCAUGUUUAAUCACCAAGGCAGGUGUGCAACAUAAAGACGUGGAUAUUUCUUGUUACUUACCAAAGUCCUGUUUUAUUUGCUCUUAAAAAGGGUCAGUUUGGUGGCCUUGGUGCUGAAUUUGGAAAAAAAUACCGCGUCAAUACCAGUGUCGUCAUCUCGCUGUCCUUUUUGUGACCUUCUGAACUCAACAUUCAGGUUUGGCACUUUGCCACCUUUCAACCUUGAACACCAUGAUGAAGUUUAUGUUCUCUGGACGGGGUGGGAACGUCCCAUUUCAUCUUUGGGUGUAGCAGUCUAAACUGUUAUCUUAUGACACAAAUGAACUGUCACGAAAUGCCCUGUGGUGUGGAAUGAAGGGGUGAGAAGGUUUGCAGAAGCGCAAUACCGGAUUCACUGUCAUCACUUCAAAGUUCAAAGGAAGAUCGGCGGGCGACAGAAUGCCCUGAUAAUCCUAGUGACCUAAACUGUUUGGCUUGGCAUUAUCAAACUCUAUGAUAAAGAGUAUUUGCUGCACAGAAGAUUUCGAGUGGAAACCACCAUCGAAACUUUCCAUGUUCAAACCGUCGAACGGAAACUACUGUGGGACAUGUAACACUUCGAUAAAUUGUGUGUAAGAGAUAGCAUAUCACUUCAUGCUCAAUCUACAUGAGUACAUGAUUAUAGUUAAUAAGUAUGAAACAAAAGUUAAUUGUGCUA